rnacentral:rRNA from 1 species
AUUGAACCUGGCGCAGGCUUAAACAUGCAAGUCGAACGGUAACAUAAAGAAGCUUGCUUCUUGAUGACGAGUGGCGACGGGUGAGUAAUGCUUGGAAUCUAGCUUAUGGAGGGGGAUAACUACGGGAAACUGUAGCUAAUACCGCGUAGUUCGAGAGAUGAAAGUGUGGGACUUCGGGCCACAUGCCAUAGGAUGAGCCCAAGUGGGAUUAUAGUUGGUGAGGUAAAGGCUCACCAAGCCGACGAUCUUAGCUGGUUGAGAGGAUGACCAGCCACAUGGACUGAGACACGGCCCAGACUCCUACGGGAGGCAGCAGUGGGAUAUUGCGCAAUGGGGGCAACCCUGACGCAGCCAUGCCGCGUGAAUGAAGAAGGCCUUCGGGUUGUAAAGUUCUUUCCGGUAGCGAGGAAGGCAUUUAGUUAAUAACUAGGUGAUUGACGUUAAUACAGAAGAA